UUUAUCCCUAACCCUCAUCAUCACCCUAUUCUUUCUCUCUCUACCCACGAACUACACUGGAGGCGACACCGGUGCAACCACAACAUCACACCAUCGACGACUAGCUGCACGAUGCGAUAUCCCAAAAUCGAAUUACCCUCACCCUCAUCCUCUUAUUUCUCUCUAACCUCUCUCUCUAUCCACGAACCACAUGGAGGCGACGCCAUCACCGGCGCGGUUAACAUCACAUCGUCGACCAGCAACAGUACGAUGUGGACUUGACCCUGCCAAUUGUUGAACGCAUACCCCGUUUGCCGCACUGAAAUGCAAACACACACAAACGAAGUGAACGGUGGCGUCAUCCUUGUGUUUGGAGAUCUGAGGGCGGUGGCGUCAUCUUUGGCAUCACGAUGUAGCAGCUUAGGGUAUUUUCACCCGUUGUGGUUUUCAGUAGCGAUAGCGUAAUAUAUCUUCUUUUGCGGUGGUUUUCAUGCUUGGGUGAUGGGGGUGCUGUAAUGGUGGGACGUUGACGGUGGUGGUGAAUCCGCUGAGGGUGAGGUGGUGGUUUUGAUGCUGCUUAUGGUGGUUUGGGAUGGUUUUGACUUUGAAGUGAUGGUUUUGUUGGAUAUGGUGGUGACUGAUUUUUGUUGGUGGCAGUGGCAGUGGAUAUGACGGUUGGGGCGGUUUUUCUUGAAUAUGGUGGUGGUGGUUUGGUUAUGGUGCUAGCCUCUGUGGUGAUGUUGUUAGGUUAUAUUGAUGGUGGUGUGGUGUGGUGUGGCGCGGUGUGGUUUUGUCACUUGUAUUACAUGUGUUUCUGGUGAAGUGGUGUACGUUUGAUUGUCGAUGGUAAGAGUGGUGAUGAGUGACCAAAUCUAUUUUUAUUGUAACUGCCUGUGACCAGAUUUGUGUUAAUCGUGACUGUAUAUGACUUGGCUAUAUAUAGUCACAAAUUAGAUUAACAAGGUCACAAAUAGUCACACCGAAAAUAAAUUUGGUCGUGAACACAUAAUGUCACAGUUCAUACGUUACGGGUCACAAUUCGCAAUUAAUGUCACAUGUUUGAGUUUACAAGUCACAGUCAUUUUAUGUAAGUCACAAAUUAGUAUAAACGGGUGACAAAUCAAUAUUAACAAGUCACAUGUCGUUUUAUAGAAGUCACAGAUUAAAUUUAUAGGUCACAGGUUUGAGUUCACAAGUCACAGUCAUUUCAUAUAAGUCACAAAUCAGUAUAAACAAGUGACAGAUCAAUAUUAAGGGGUCACAGAUCAAAUUUAUAGGCCACAUUUUAUAUUACGAGUCACAAGUAACAAAUCACAGGUUGAAAAUCAUAUUUUAUAUCUCACAAUGUACACAGGUCACAUGUUAUUGUCAAGAAAAAAAUUGCGAAUUUAAUAUAUUUAAUUACAAAAAUAUUUUUUUGAUUAAUUAUUUCAUAACUAAAUUUGAUUUUUGAAAUUUCAAACUUUUUUUCAUA
rnacentral:lncRNA from 1 species